rnacentral:rRNA from 1 species
CCUACGGGUGGCAGCAGUGAGGACUAUUGGUCAAUGGCCGAGAGGCUGAACCAGCCAAGUCGCGUGAGGGAAGACGGCCCUACGGGUUGUAAACCUCUUUUGUCGGGGAGCAAAGAGAGUCACGUGUGACUCAUUGAGAGUACCCGAAGAAAAAGGAUCGGCUAACUCCGUGCCAGCAGCCGCGGUAAUACGGAGGAUACGAGCGUUAUCCGGAUUUAUUGGGUUAAAGGGGUGCGCAGGUGGAGGGCCAAGUCAGCGGGAAAGUUGCGGGGCUCAACCCCGUACUGCCGUUGAAACUGCAUCCCUUGAGUGCGCGAGAGGUAUGCGGAAUGCGUGGUGUAGCGGUGAAAUGCAUAGAUAUCACGCAGAACUCCGAUUGCGAAGGCAGCAUACCGGCGCGCAACUGACGCUCAUGCACGAAAGCGUGGGUAUCGAACAGGAUUAGAUACCCGUGUAGUC